CGACCGGCGCACGGGUGAGUAACGCGUAUCCAACCUUCCCAUUACUGUGGGAUAACCUGCCGAAAGGCAGACUAAUACCGCAUAGUCUUCGAUGACGGCAUCAGAUUUGAAGUAAAGAUUUAUCGGUAAUGGAUGGGGAUGCGUCUGAUUAGCUUGUUGGCGGGGUAACGGCCCACCAAGGCGACGAUCAGUAGGGGUUCUGAGAGGAAGGUCCCCCACAUUGGAACUGAGACACGGCCAAACUCCUACGGGAGGCAGCAGUC
rnacentral:rRNA from 1 species